CAGCCGGGCUUCCAGGCCUGCCUGCGGUUCAGCGGUGACUCAACGUUUAAACCCGAAGAUUCCCAGUCCCAGCUGCUACAGUUAAGGGGGACAGGGUGUCUGUGAUGGGCCCCGACCCUAGAGGACACUGGUCUGAUAACAGGCUCAGCUCAUCCAUGAUUUUUAAGUUGCCACAGAUUCUCACUGCCUGCAAAGAAGAACCACUAUUGUUAUAGAAAUUACUAUAGCCUGGCAUGGUGGAGCACGCCUUUAAUACCAGCACUCAGGAGGCAGAGUGACCUGUAAUUCUCUGUACCAGGAUGUGGUUUACAUCCACAAUGAGCUGUUGAUCAGAG